rnacentral:rRNA from 1 species
AUUGAACGCUGGCGGCAGGCUUAACACAUGCAAGUCGAGCGGGGGAAGGUAGCUUGCUACCUAACCUAGCGGCGGACGGGUGAGUAAUGCUUAGGAAUCUGCCUAUUAGUGGGGGACAACAUUUCGAAAGGGAUGCUAAUACCGCAUACGCCCUAAGGGGGAAAGCGGGGGAUCUUCGGACCUUGCGCUAAUAGAUGAGCCUAAGUCGGAUUAGCUAGUUGGUGGGGUAAAGGCCUACCAAGGCGACGAUCUGUAGCGGGUCUGAGAGGAUGAUCCGCCACACUGGGACUGAGACACGGCCCAGACUCCAACGGGAGGCAGCAGUGGGGAAUAUUGGACAAUGGGGGGAACCCUGAUCCAGCCAUGCCGCGUGUGUGAAGAAGGCCUUUUGGUUGUAAAGCACUUUAAGCGAGGAGGAGGCUACCGAGAUUAAUACUCUUGGAUAGUGGACGUUACUCGCAGAAUAAGCACCGGCUAACUCUGUGCCAGCCGCCGCGGUAAAAC